AGCAACAUUGGGUAUGAAUCGUUCCACCUACGAAGGAAUAUUUGUUUUGAAGAAAAAGGUAGGAAGUUUAAGUAGGAUCAAUGAUUCACAAGCUAAUAUGUAAUUCUAUUUGAUUCUUAGUGCAAUCUAAAGUCAUAAAAUCAUUCAUUGUACAUUCAUCUUAUAUUGCCCAUUCAAGUAGAUUAUGAUCACACAUGCCCAAACUAUUAAAUCCAG